UACGGGAGGCAGCAGUGGGGAAUAUUGGACAAUGGGCGAAAGCCUGAUCCAGCAAUGCCGCGUGAGUGAUGAAGGCCUUAGGGUUGUAAAGCUCUUUUACCCGGGAUGAUAAUGACAGUACCGGGAGAAUAAGCUCCGGCUAACUCCGUGCCAGCAGCCGCGGUAAUACGGAGGGAGCUAGCGUUGUUCGGAAUUACUGGGCGUAAAGCGCACGUAGGCGGCUUUGUAAGUUAGAGGUGAAAAGCCCGGGGCUCAACCCCGGAACUGCCUUUUGAUACUGCAUGGCUUGAAUCCAGGAGAGGUGAGUGGAAUUCCGGAGUGUAGAGGUGAAAUUCGUAGAUAUUCGGAAGAACACCAGUGGCGAAGGCGGCUCACUGGACUGGUAUUGACGCUGAGGUGCGAAAGCGUGGGGAGCAAACAGGGAUUAGAUACC
rnacentral:rRNA from 1 species